GAUGAACGCUGGCGGCGUGCCUAAUACAUGCAAGUCGAGCGAACGGACGAGAAGCUUGCUUCUCUGAUGUUAGCGGCGGACGGGCGAGUAACACGUGGAUAACCUACUUAUAAGACUGGGAUAACUUCGGGAAACCGGAGCUAAUACCGGAUAAUAUUUUGAACCGCAUGGUUCAAAAGUGAAAGACGGUUUUCCUGUCACUUAUAGAUGGAUCCGCGCUGCAUUAGCUAGUUGGUAAGGUAACGGCUUACCAAGGCAACGAUGCAUAGCCGACCUGAGAGGAUGAUCGGCCACACUGGAACUGAGACACGGUCCAGACUCCUACGGGAGGCAGCAGUAGGGAAUAUUCCGCAAUGGGCGAAAGCCUGACGGAGCAACGCCGCGUGAGUGAUGAAGGUCUUCGGAUCGUAAAGCUCUGUUAUUAGGGAAGAACAUAUGUGUAAGUAACUGUGCACGUCUUGACGGUACCUAAUCAGAAAGCCCCGGCUAACUACGUG
rnacentral:rRNA from 1 species